rnacentral:tRNA from 1 species
UCCCUGAUAGCUCAGUUGGUAAAGAAUCUGCUUGCAAUGCAGGAGACCCCGGUUUGAUUCCUGGGUUGGGAA